rnacentral:rRNA from 1 species
GACGAACGCUGGCGGCGUGCUUAACACAUGCAAGUCGAGCGGUAAGGCCCUUUCGGGGGUACACGAGCGGCGAACGGGUGAGUAACACGUGGGUGACCUGCCCUCAGCUCUGGGAUAAGCCUGGGAAACCGGGUCUAAUACUGGAUAUGACUCCAUGACGCAUGUUGGUGGGGUGGAAAGCCUUGUGCGGCUGAGGAUGGGCCCGCGGCCUAUCAGCUUGGUUGGGUGGGGUGANGGCCUACCAAGGCGACGACGGGUAGCCGGCCUGAGAGGGCGACCGGCCACACUGGGACUGAGACACGGCCCAGACUCCUACGGGAGGCAGCAGGUGGGGAAUCUUGCGCAAGUGGGACGAAAGCCUGACGCAGCGACGCCGCGUG